rnacentral:rRNA from 1 species
CCUACGGGAGGCAGCAGUGGGGAAUAUUGCGCAAUGGGCGAAAGCCUGACGCAGCGACGCCGCGUGAGGGAUGAAGGUCUUCGGAUCGUAAACCUCUGUCAGCAGGGAAGAACGGUCACUGUGCUAAUCAGCAGUGAAUUGACGGUACCUGCACAGGAAGCACCGGCUAACUCCGUGCCCGCAGCCGCGGUAAUACGGAGGGUGCGAGCGUUAAUCGGAAUUACUGGGCGUAAAGCGCUCGUAGGCGGUAUUUCAAGUCAAGGGUGAAAUCCCCGCGCUCAACCUGGGAACAGCCUUUGAAACUGGGAAACGGGAGUGUGUGAGAGGAUAGUGGAAUGCCAGGUGUAGGAGUGAAAUGCGUAGAUAUCUGGAGGAACAUCAGUGGCGAAGGCGACUAUCUGGCACAUAACUGACGCUGAGGAGCGAAAGCGUGGGUAGCAAACAGGAUUAGAUACCCGAGUAGUC